AGUGAACGCUGGCGGUAGGCCUAACACAUGCAAGUCGAACGGCAGCACAGUAAGAGCUUGCUCUUACGGGUGGCGAGUGGCGGACGGGUGAGGAAUACAUCGGAAUCUACUUUUUCGUGGGGGAUAACGUAGGGAAACUUACGCUAAUACCGCAUACGACCUACGGGUGAAAGCAGGGGAUCUUCGGACCUUGCGCGAUUGAAUGAGCCGAUGUCGGAUUAGCUAGUUGGCGGGGUAAAGGCCCACCAAGGCGACGAUCCGUAGCUGGUCUGAGAGGAUGAUCAGCCACACUGGAACUGAGACACGGUCCAGACUAAUACGGGAGGCAGCAGUGGGGAAUAUUGGACAAUGGGCGCAAGCCUGAUCCAGCCAUACCGCGUGGGUGAAGAAGGCCUUCGGGUUGUAAGGCCCUGUUGUUGGGAAAGAAAAGCAGCAGGUUAAUACCCCGAUGUUCUGACGUUACCCAAAGAAUAAGCACCGGCUAACUUCGUG
rnacentral:rRNA from 1 species